rnacentral:misc_RNA from 1 species
UUUCCGUAGGUGAACCUGCGGAAGGACCAUUACUGAGUGAGGGCCCUCGGGGUUCUACCUCCCACACGCGCUUAUUGUACCAUGUUGCUUGGGUGAGCCCGCCUCACGGCCGCCGGGGGGCAUCUGCCCACCGGCCCGGGCUGGACGAAGUCACCAUUAAACUCUGUCCGUAGUUCGUAGUCUGAGCGAAAACUAAGUCAGCUAAAACUUUCAACAACGGACAGCUUGGUUGCGGCAUCGUUGGAGAACGAAUUACAUGGGAAGAGCACACGUGCGAAC